rnacentral:rRNA from 1 species
UACGGGGGGGGCAAGCGUUGUUCGGAAUUACUGGGCGUAAAGGGCUCGUAGGUGGCCAACUAAGUCAGACGUGAAAUCCCUCGGCUUAACCGGGGAACUGCGUCUGAUACUGGUUGGCUUGAGUGUGGGAGAGGGAUGCGGAAUUCCAGGUGUAGCGGUGAAAUGCGUAGAUAUCUGGAGGAACACCGGUGGCGAAGGCGACUUUCUGGCUGCUAACUGACGCUGAGACGCGAAAGCUAGGGGAGCGAACGGG